UACGUAGGGUGCGAGCGUUGUCCGGAAUUAUUGGGCGUAAAGAGCUCGUAGGCGGUUUGUUGCGUCUAUCGUGAAAACCUGCAGCUUAACUGUGGGCUUGCGGUGGAUACGGGCAGACUUGAGUUCGGUAGGGGAGACUGGAAUUCCUGGUGUAGCGGUGAAAUGCGCAGAUAUCAGGAGGAACACCGGUGGCGAAGGCGGUUCUCUGGGCAUUACCUGACGCUGAGGAGCGAAAGUGUGGGGAGCGAACAGG
rnacentral:rRNA from 1 species